rfam:Schistosoma margrebowiei strain Zambia genome assembly, scaffold: SMRZ_contig0002005
GCACUGCUGAGGAGUCCGACACUAGAACGAAACGGCCGUCCAAUGC